rnacentral:rRNA from 1 species
UACGGAGGGGGCUAGCGUUAUUCGGAAUUACUGGGCGUAAAGCGCACGUAGGCGGCUUUGCAAGUUAGAGGUGAAAGCCUGGAGCUCAACUCCAGAACUGCCUUUAAAACUGCAUCGCUUGAAUCCAGGAGAGGUGAGUGGAAUUCCGAGUGUAGAGGUGAAAUUCGUAGAUAUUCGGAAGAACACCAGUGGCGAAGGCGGCUCACUGGACUGGUAUUGACGCUGAGGUGCGAAAGCGUGGGGAGCAAACAGG